GAGGAAAAGAAACCAACAGGGAUUGCCCCAGUAACGGCGAGUGAAGCGGCAAAAGCUCAAAUUUGAAAUCCUGCGGGAAUUGUAAUUUGAAGGUUUCGUGGUCUGAGUCGGCCGCGCCCAAGUCCAUUGGAACAUGGCGCCUGGGAGGGUGAGAGCCCCGUAUGGCGCACGCCGACUCUUUGCACCGCGGCUCCGACGAGUCGAGUUGUUUGGGAAUGCAGCUCUAAGUGGGUGGUAAAUUCCAUCUAAAGCUAAAUAUUGGCGAGAGACCGAUAGCGAACAAGUACAGUGAUGGAAAGAUGAAAAGCACUUUGAAAAGAGAGUGAAACAGCACGUGAAAUUGUUGAAAGGGAAGGGCUUGCAAGCAGACACGGUUUUACCGGGCCAGCGUCGAAAAGGGGGGAGGAACAAGAACUCGAGAAUGUGGCGCGCACCUUCGGGCGCGCGUGUUAUAGCUCGUGUUGACGCCUCCAUCCCUUUUCGAGGCCUGCGAUUCUAGGACGCUGGCGUAAUGGUUGCAAGCCGCCCGUCU
rnacentral:rRNA from 1 species